GCGCGUGCGCGCCCACUGCGUCCCACUAGGAGGGGGCAGGGACAGGACGUGGGAAAAUGACUACGCGUCACCCGUGAUGUCGCGCAUCCGAUAGGCCCUUUCCAGAUGGCAAAAGGCCUGAGGAUGAAUCUGGGCGAGCUGGUUGAGUCCAUGCGUUUGUGCUUCCUCUCAGUCCACUUUCGCUUACGAUGGGGCGACUCUUGUCCAUCGUCGCCUCACCUGGAAACUUUUCCUGCCGGGCCAGUUAAUGGUCCCCUGUACCAUCCCCAUCCUGAGUGACUACUAAGCAGCCGCAGCGACUCGGGGUUGCUCCGUGACCACGUUACUCAGUUACCUUCUUGUUCCCUGGAGAGGCGGAGCUGAAUGGCCCGGACGGGGUUUCUCCAUGUUUCCCAGGCUGGUCUCAAACUCCUGGACUCAAGCAAUCUGCCCACCUUGCCUCCCAAAAUGCUCCUCCAAAAAAGGAGUGUGCCGCCACACCCAGCCUGAGCAACUUUUGUUUUUAAGGUUUUACCUCUGUUGCCUAGGCUGGAAUACAGUGGCGUGGUCAUAGCUCACUGCAGCCUCGAACUACUGAGCUCAAGCAGUUCUCCACCUCAGCCUCCCAAGUAGCUGGAACUACAAGAGCAUGCCACUGUGCCCAGGUGAAGGACGUUUGCUUCCCUUUCCACCAUGAUUGCAAGUUUCCUGAGGCCUCCCUAGCCAUGCUGAACUACAUACAGACACUCUAAAAGCUCAAGAGAUCAAUUAUUCAACUUCAAGAACUGAAAUUUGAACACAGAUUUUGAGCUUCCAAAUCAGACUGCUGUUAAACUGGCUCACUCCAUAUACUCUGUGCUACAACAAUUUAAUAUUUCAUUAAAAAGCAUUAAUGAUGGCUCCAGUGAAUUUCUCCUAUUCAAGCUCCAUAAUGACAGCAGUUCAAGCGAGUGUUGAUCUCUGAGUGAUGCAACACAAAAACAUCGCCUAACAAAGGAACACUUGGAGUGCUACUCAUAUUCUCUGCAGCUUGAGCUGCUAAUAUGGGAAAGAUUGAAAUCAGCAAGUUUCUGGCUGUAAGCUAAAAGAGGCUCUUGAAUCAUAUUUCCGCCUGCUUAGCAAAUUUCUCUUGUGACAAUUGGAUGUUAUUUGGGGUUCCAUACUAGCAGGAAGAAGUACAAGCAAAGCUAAGUCAUUUUGAGAAUAAAUAUUAUCUCUCUAUAUAUUUGUAAAUGUUAUUUUCUUUCUUUUUUGAGGUUUAUGAUUGAUCCUUGGCAUGUGUCCCCUUGUGUAUUGCUCUACUAAAAACAGCCUAAAAAAGAAUUUUCCCCUCGAUGUGGAGCUUCUCUUUAGUUACAAUUCUACUUUCUCCUUCACUUGAGUAUCAGUCUUCAGAGAACUAGCAUAACAAAGGAGUGGAUACAGUUAUACGCAAAAAAGUCUAUGAGAAAAUUAGUACAUUAAAUUUGUGAAAGCUCAUUUAAAGUAAUUUUCUACUAAAAAUUUUAAUCAAAUGUAUUAAUCAUAUUUCUAUGCUUAGUGAUGUUAAAUAAAAAUUUAAGAGGUGGCAAUCAAUAAACAGAGAUAAAAGCUUCUCAAGAAUAAAUGAAAGGAAGUAAUAAAAAGACUCACUAAGCUGAAUUGCCUCCUAUCAACAGCAGCUGAUAAAAUAUUAAAAGAUUUGCCUUGUGUAAUGUCUCUGGAGAGCUGUCUUACUGAUGUACUAGGCCAUGAUUGACAACUUUGAGACUUUGCUGGAAGCGACAAAAGUAUAUCUAUAAUAUGCUGAAUUGCAUAGGUCUUUCUUCUUAAAUGAGGCUAGAAAUAACAUACCACCAAGUGUUUGGCUUUUAGGAAAUUGAGCAUUUUCUUUAGUUCUAGCUGCAGUUUAAUUUCCUCAGAAUUAGACAUUAUGCAGUAUCUGGAACGUAAAAAAAAAAAAAAGCAAAAGCAGGGUAUUGUACCUAAUGAUAUGUCAAAUAAUUUUGGAGGAAUUAAGAAAUCACUGGAAGAAAUUACAUGGGUGGGUAAUGGUUUUUAUGUCACAAUAAAUAAUUAGUAAUAUUUACUGACACAUUUCAUGUGCCUGGUACUGAGCUAAAUGAUUUAUGUGCAUUGUUUGUAUUAAGCCCCCAAAAUUCUGUGGUAUAUGUAAUGAUAUUUCCAUUUUUCUUGAGAUAAGGAACUGAAACUCAGAAAAGUUAAGGAACUUGUCCAAGAUUAUAGUAAGUGGCUUAGCUCGAUUUUGAAUCUAGAUCAAUCUGACUCCAACCAGCAUGAUGAACUGAAACUGACUAUGAGGCUGGUGACACUCUAGGCAUUUAUUCACAAGUUAUUGUGAUGACAUGUAAGAGAAUGUUGGAUGAAGGAAGCACGUACUAGAAAGAUAGGAAAGACCAGAAAACACAGGGAAGUGCUAUUUAUUUUGCUUUCCUAGUUCCAGUAACUUGGUCUAAUGGGGAGGAUGAAAGUAGACAGAUGCCUGAAAACACUUUGAGAUUUAUGUAUAAGCAGAAUGACUUCAGUGACCAAGCCACACAGAAUCUGGGAGUGGAACAUUUUCUUUGGUCAUUAUGCCACUGCGUCAUCGUUUGUUAGUGCAGUGAGAACUAAAGUAUAGUGUGGUAACCUGAAACUGUUAUGGUUAUGGGUACACCUGGGUGGGUAGCUGUUCACCCCUUCACAGAGGGUAGGAGCGGUGAUAGCAAAGUACCUCUUCCCAGUAACUUUCAGAACAUAGACAUUAUGUAAGAUCUGAAGUUUGAAAACCUGAAACAAAAGCACAGCAUUAUAUCCAAGCACAUUGGAGACAACUGUGGAGGAAUCAAGGAACAUCUAGCAGAGAUUUGAUGUUUUGGGGACUGUUUUUUAUUUCAGAAGGUAAUAAGUAUAAAACAAUCAAACUCUAGGUAUAGGGAUGAACAUUAUUUUGUGUCAUAAAUUUGUCUAAUACAGUUGCUGCUUCAGCAUCCAGUUUUGGCUUGCCAUGGUCAAGGUGACCAGUCAUGCCCUGUCACCUUUGGUUUUAUUAAAAUUUUCCCUCCUUUAGUGGUUAUUUGUGAUAUAGCCCCGUUGUUCCCCAUCUCACUGACCCCAAAUUCAACACAUGCCACAGCUGCUGGCCACAGUGAAAACUAAUGAUCAACACCAGUCAUGUGAAAAAGAUGUCCCUUCAUGUGUUUUCUUUAAGCUAGCCUAUCCACAGCCCCAUGGGAAAGCCUAAAGAAUAGUACCCGUGGACUAUAAUAAAGACAUCGUCUUACUGGUUCUUGCUCUCUAUCCCUCUCUCUACACACUGGUCAAGCACGCUCUUGUCUCCAGACUUCCCAUUGGCCUCCUGUCAACACCUGUACCCACUCUGAACCUGGGAAUAAUAAACUUCUUUUUUUUUUUUAAUGUAUUUUGGUUUCACUUCCUCAUUGUAUCUCACCUGACACACACAUACUAUAGUGUUCUCAAUAUUAUUUAAUGUGUUUAACAAAUCAUAACAGAUAAUAUAUGAUUGACACUGCGCCUCCUGAUUUGAUGCAAUAUGGACUAUUCCACAUCACUGAUGAAGUAGUCAUACAAAAAAUAUUUAUCUUGAAUCAAAGCAAGAUUUUAUACCAAAAUUCUAGUUCAUGUUACCUGAUAGAGGAACAUAUUAAACAAUACUAUGAGUAAACAAUCAGAAAAAUAAUAGAUUAUAGUCUUCAAAAAACGAUGGCCUUACAAAACAAAUAAACAAAAAGCUUGUGUGGGUGUGUACAUGCAAGGGCUAAUCUCAAAUGCAGAAAGACCAGAAUACAAUAACAAAUAUAAUUCUUGAAAGUGGAUUUCAUCUUGGUUUACCAAAAAUAGCUAUGAGGGAAAUUUGGGUAAGAAUUAGAGAAUUCUGAAUAUAAAAUGAAUUAAAACAGAUAUUAUGAAUUAAGUUAAUAUUUUUGAUGUGUUCUUUUGAUAUGUUCUUUUAGAAUAUGUAAUGUCCCUAUUUAUAGGAGAUGUGUGCUAAAUUAUUUACAAAUAUUUGGGUAUCUGAAAUUUACUUUCAAAUGCACCAAAAAUAGUAGCUAUACAAAAAGAAAUACAUUAAAUUUACUCUAUAAUAGUAGUUAUUCUUUCUGAGAGGUUUACACAGUAUUUUCCUGUUCUUUUGUAUGUAUGUAUUUUUAAAAGAACGUAGGCCUGGCGCAGUGGCUCACGCCUAUAAUCCCAGCACUUUGGGAGGCCGAGGUGGGCGGAUCACAUGGUCAGGAGAUCGAGACCAUCCUGGCUAACACGGUAAAACGCCGUCUCUACUAAAAACACAAAAGCAAAAUUAACCAGGCGUGGUGGCGGGCGCCUGUAGUCCCAGCUAAUCAGGAGGCUGAGGCAGGAGAAUGGCAUGAACCCGGGAGGCGAAGCUUGCAGUGAGCCGCGAUCAUGCCACUGCACUCCAGCCUGGGCGACAGAGCGAGACUCCGUCUCAAAAAAAACAAAAACGAAAAGAAAAACAACAUAAAUAAAUUGAUAAUGUAUCUAUUUUGAUACAGUCAUGGUUAACAUAAAUAAUCGUGGUUAUAUCCGUAUAAAACCAUGAAUACACAGUAAUAAAUAUUAUAAUUACAAGUAAAUCACCAUAAAUAAAUUCUUUUUCAAUGUUCCUACUCCCAGUUUUUAAAUUUGUUUUGAAGUAAUUGUACAUUUUUAUGGUAUUUAGGUAUACAUACUAUACUUUGUUGUCAAUUAUAUAUUGUGGAAACAAGUUUAUUCUUUCAGAAUAAGGUUAUUCAGCCCUGAGAAAAUUGAUUUAUAUUAUUUCUUAUUUUUUUGCUAUAAAUAAUUUUAUAUUUAAAUUUAAUAUUUACAAUUUACAUUAGUAUGCAUAUUAGUUGAAGUAUUCCAUUAAAUGUCUCAUGGAUUGUUUUUAAUUUAAUGUCACAUUUUAAAAUGUUAUAUAAAUACAUACUUAAAUAUUCAGAAAUAUUACUCAAGUGUGACACCCAGAAUCAUCACUAUAAACAUAUAAAAUGCAUUUUGAUACAUCAGAAUAAAAAUGGAAAAUAAAUAUCAUUUCUGUUGAGCUUUUGAGGAGAAACAAAUUUACUAAGUAAAAAUAAUAGGAAAAGAUGUAGCAAAGAAUGAUAAAUAAUGUUACAAGCAAAAUAAUUUGACUAGAUGUGAUGGAAAAUACAGCAAUAAAAAUAAUUUCACAAAGAUUAAAGAAAAGGUUUCUUAAGACUAUAGCAAAAAUAAGCUUACUAAGUCCCAGUUUUGGUCAAAGGCCAAUUUGUAAUUUUUAUGCAUGGCUACAACAUAUUAACUAGCAAGGAUCACAGAAAUUGCAAGUCAUCUCUCCACAUUGGUUAUGAAUAUCCUUUAUUGGUUUUCUCUAGUUCCAGGUGAUGAAAAAUCCUAAGUAUCACUGAGGAUUUGCUGUAAUUUAAUGACUAGCCUUGAUUUAUAUAUUUACAUCCAAAUAGUUUUAACCAUGAUGUUAUAAAUAGUAAUCUAAAUACAUAACCCUUUAUCUACCAAAGUUGUAUAAACAAUUACUGAUUUUGUCUUUUAUUGUCCUUCUGAAAUUGUUCCCUUUCCCCUUUUGCUUCCCUUUAUUACAUAUCUGCAGACAAAAAGCAAUACUUGUCAUGUGGUCAAAAACAGAUGAAAAAUAUAAAGCCCCUCCUACCUUUUUUUUCUAAAUUGUUAGUGGCUAAAGAACAGGC